ensembl:lncRNA
GCUCAUGGCAGGGCAGAAAGAACAACAUCUUGUCUGCUUGUGCAUGAGUGCAAAGCCUGGGGGUCACGAGGUCCUGUUUACCUGUGGCAGGUAUUUCCUCUAUGGGCUGAUAAGAGCCGACCAGGGGAAGUGCUCCGUCACAGGCAAUCCCACCCACAGACCCCUAAUGCUGCCCGCCCGUGUCAGAGUUUGAAAUGGAGUAGAGCAGGUGUUGAGAGGAGGCGGUGAGCCUGAACAUGUUAACAAGGGAGGAUCCCACAGUUGUAUUGAGAGACAGGCUGCACCGCUGAAUGGAGCUUUCAGCAAGGAGUGUGGAACAGACCGCAAGACAAUCCUCUCUUUUUACUGCCAUAGAAAUAAAGAGUGACAUUAAUGACCAACAAAAGAUUAGUCAGUGCGGUUUUUAUGUGUUUGCUGUACAUCCUAAUUUGGUCACGGUCCAUUUCUUUAAUUGGUAAUGAAUAAUUUGAAUAGACCUGGACAUAUAUGUAAUUAAAUAGCCAUUUACAAUAUCCUGUGUCUGGAGUAAAAGUACAUAUUUAUGCUAAUUUUCUAUGCAGACCAAUUAUUUUGUAUGUGACCAGACGUCCUUCAUUUUUCAGAAAUGUCCCCAUUUUAUACUGUGUGUUUAAAACUAACAUGUGCUAGAUAUUGCACAUUUUAGAUAUUGUUUAGC